UGGCUCUGGCAUCGAUGAAGAACGCAGCGAAAUGCGAUAAGUAAUGCGAAUUGCAGAAUUUAGUGAAUCAUCGAAUCUUUGAACGCACAUUGCGCCCGCCAGUACUCUGGCGGGCAUGCCUGUCCGAGCGUCACUACAACCCUCGUGCCCCCUCCGGGGGGCGCGGUGUUGGACGUCGGCGAGCCGCAAACCCCGCUGGGGGCGAGCGACGCCGUGUCCCAAAUGCAGUGGCGGCCCCGCCGCGCCUUCCCUUGCGUAGUACUGCACGUCGCACUGGAGGGAGCGGCCCGGCCACGCCGUAAAACCCCCGACCUUCUCACGGUUGACCUCGGAUCAGGUAGGACUACCCGCUGA
rnacentral:misc_RNA from 1 species